GUUUAUCUUGAACUUGAAGGAUGCCUUUGAUCUGUCGUCGUCGUCGGAUCCUGUUACCUCUUUGACGAUCACGAGGAACCAUGAUUCCUAACCCGAGAACCAACAUUCAGAUAAGAGAUCGAUGAUCCACAGAUUCUUUCCUACACGAUCGUGAAGGCACUGGGAGGACUGAUAUGAUCGCGGAAGUUAAGGACCAUUUUGGAGGGAAGGAUGGUUUGAGAGUAUAUAACUUCGAGUUUCUGGUUACUUCACAUCUAUACUAAUGGCUAUCGUUGG